CCCUUCCUUUCCUCCAGAGCCUGAGGCAGCCGCGGGGGAGGCGGCCGCUCCUACCUCCCCUCACCUACUCUGUCCCCACCCCCACUCCGCUCCCACCUCCCGCCCGCCACGGGCCGGUUACCUGCUCGUCGAAGCGGCUGACCACGGCCUGGACCCAUUCCACCGGCCUGUGCGCGGCCAUGUCCUCCCCGCGGCCGGGGGGCGGCGGAGGGAAGGGUGGGCCGGCGCCCUGGGCCGGGAAGAGGGCGGGGAGCGGAGGCUGAGAGACAAGGUCUGACUCUGUGCAGUGGAGUGCAGUGGCUCAAUCAUAGCUCACUCCAGCCUCAGACUCCUGGGCCGAAGUGAUCCUCCCACCUCAAGCUCCUGAAUAGCUGGGACUACAGCUGGGCAUGGUGGCAUGUGCCUGUGGUUCCAGUUACUUGGGAAGCUGAAGUGGGAGGAUCGCUUGAGCCCAGGAGGUCAAGGCUACAGUGAGCUGUGAUGGUGUCAUUGCAUUCCAGCACUCCAGCCCGGGCAUCAGAGUUAGACCUUG
rnacentral:lncRNA from 1 species